GAAUUGGUGCGAGAACGUUCCGAAACGGACGCUAAUACGGCAUACGUCCUAUGGGAUAAAAGCAGGGGAUCUUCGGGCCUUGCGCUAUCAGAUGAUCACUAGGUCGGAUUAGCUAGGUGGCGAGGUAAUGGCUCCCCAAGGCGACGAUCCCUAACUGAUCUGAAAGGAUGAUCAGUCACACUGGACCUGACACACGGUCCAGACUCCUACGGGAGGCAUCAUAGGGGAAUAUUGGACAAUGGGCGAAAGCCUGAUCCAGCCAUGCCGCGUGUGUGAACAAGGUCUUCGGAUUGUAAAGCACUUUAAGUUGGGAGGAAGGGUUGUAGAUUAAUACUCUGCAAUUUUGACGUUACCGACAGAAUAAGCACCGGCUAACUCUGUGCCAGCAGCCGCGGUAAUACAGAGGGUGCAAGCGUUAAUCGGAAUUACUGGGCGUAAAGCGCGCGUAGGUGGUUUGUUAAGUUGGAUGUGAAAUCCCCGGGCUCAACCUGGGAACUGCAUUCAAAACUGACUGACUAGAGUAUGGUACAGGGUGGUGGAAUUUCCUGUGUAGCGGUGAAAUGCGUACAUAUAGGAAGGAACACCCGUGGCCAAUGCGACCACCUGGACUAAUACUGACACUGAGGUGCGAAAGCGUGGGGAGCACACAGGAUUAGAUACCCUGGUAGUCCACGCCGUAAACGAUGUCAACUAGCCGUUGGAAGCCUUGAGCUUUUAGUGGCGCAGCUAACGCAUUAGGUUGACCGCCUGGCGAGUACAGCCGCAAGGUUAAAACUCAAAUGAAUUGACGGGGGCCCGCACACCCGGUGGAUCAUGUGGUUUAAUUCGAAGCAACGCGAAGAACCCUACCAGGCCUUGACAUCCAAUGAACUUUCUAGAGAUAGAUUGGUGCCUUCGGGAACAUUGAGACAGGUGCUGCAUGGCUGUCGUCAGCUCGUGUCGUGAGAUGUUGGGUUAAGUCCCGUAACGAGCGCAACCCUUGUCCUUAGUUACCAGCACGUUAUGGUGGGCACUCUAAGGAGACUGCCGGUGACAAACCGGAGGAAGGUGGGGAUGACGUCAAGUCAUCAUGGCCCUUACGGCCUGGGCUACACACGUGCUACAAUGGUCGGUACAGAGGGUUGCCAAGCCGCGAGGUGGAGCUAAUCCCAUAAAACCGAUCGUAGUCCGGAUCGCAGUCUGCAACUCGACUGCGUGAAGUCGGAAUCGCUAGUAAUCGCGAAUCAGAAUGUCGCGGUGAAUACGUUCCCGGGCCUUGUACACACCGCCCGUCACACCAUGGGAGU
rnacentral:rRNA from 1 species